GAUGAACGCUGGCGGCGUGCCUAAUACAUGCAAGUCGAGCGAACAGAUAAGGAGCUUGCUCCUUUGACGUUAGCGGCGGACGGGUGAGUAACACGUGGGUAACCUACCUAUAAGACUGGGAUAACUUCGGGAAACCGGAGCUAAUACCGGAUAACAUUUGGAACCGCAUGGUUCUAAAGUGAAAGAUGGUUUUGCUAUCACUUAUAGAUGGACCCGCGCCGUAUUAGCUAGUUGGUAAGGUAACGGCUUACCAAGGCAACGAUACGUAGCCGACCUGAGAGGGUGAUCGGCCACACUGGAACUGAGACACGGUCCAGACUCCUACGGGAGGCAGCAGUAGGGAAUCUUCCGCAAUGGGCGAAAGCCUGACGGAGCAACGCCGCGCGAGUGAUGAAGGUUUUCGGCUCGUAAAACUCUGUUAUUAGGGAAGAACAAACGUGUAAGUAACUGUGCACGUCUUGACGGUACCUAAUCAGAAAGCCCCGGCUAACUACGUG
rnacentral:rRNA from 1 species